UAACUUUUAACAAUGGAUCUCUAGGCUCUCAUAUCGAUGAAGAACACAGUGAAAUGUGAUAAGUAAUGUGAAUUGCAGAAUUCAGUGAAUCAUUGAAUCUUUGAACGCACCUUGCACCUUUUGGUAUUCCAAGAGGUACACCUGUUUGAGUGUCAUGA
rnacentral:rRNA from 1 species